UCGGGACUGGAAUAAGUAUCAGACCAUGGGACCAGAAAAUUUUUUGAGUUCCCAGAAAGUAUUUCCCCAAGAAAGAAAAAUUGUAAUGAUUUAGAUAAGCGGAAAAAUUCAGAGAAAAAUUCACACCAUCUUAAUGGUGCGAUGGUGUAUAAAUGUAAUAUACUGUGAGUGAUGUAACAAAUAUUGUAUGGCAAAUGCAUUUUUAGCUGAUCUGGGACACUCGAUUUUCAGAAUUUUCUGGGGAGCAUCGAUCACCCUGAUAAUGUCCCCUA